UACGUAGGGGGCAAGCGUUGUCCGGAUUAUUGGGCGUAAAGAGCGUGUAGGCGGCUUUACAGGUCCGUUGUGAAAACUCGAGGCUCAACCUCGAGACGCCGGUGGAAACCGUAAAGCUAGAGUCCGGAAGAGGAGAGUGGAAUUCCUGGUGUAGCGGUGAAAUGCGCAGAUAUCAGGAGGAACACCCGUGGCGAAAGCGGCUCUCUGGCCGAUACUGACGCUGAGGAGCGAAAGCGUGGGGAGCAAACAGG
rnacentral:rRNA from 1 species